UGGGCAGAACAUCGUUAAGUGUUCUGAGAUUUAAUGAACAUGAAGAAAUUAAAUGCUUAAUAUAAGUUACAAUAAUAUUAACAUUAAUAAAGGAAUUCAAAAA